UACGUAGGGUGCGAGCGUUGUCCGGAAUUACUGGGCGUAAAGAGCUCGUAGGUGGUUUGUCGCGUUGUCCGUGAAAACUCACAACUCAAUUGUGGGCGUGCGGGCGAUACGGGCAGACUUGAGUACUGCAGGGGAGACUGGAAUUCCUGGUGUAGCGGUGGAAUGCGCAGAUAUCAGGAGGAACACCGGUGGCGAAGGCGGGUCUCUGGGCAGUAACUGACGCUGAGGAGCGAAAGCGUGGGGAGCAAACAGG
rnacentral:rRNA from 1 species